GGGUUGUGAGGUUAAGCGACUAAGCGUACACGGUGGAUGCCCUGGCAGUCAGAGGCGAUGAAGGACGUGCUAAUCUGCGAUAAGCGUCGGUGAGGUGAUAUGAACCGUUAUAACCGGCGAUUUCCGAAUGGGGAAACCCAGUGUGUUUCGACACACUAUCAUUAACUGAAUCCAUAGGUUAAUGAGGCGAACCGGGGGAACUGAAACAUCUAAGUACCCCGAGGAAAAGAAAUCAACCGAGAUUCCCCCAGUAGCGGCGAGCGAACGGGGAGGAGCCCAGAGCCUGAAUCAGUGUGUGUGUUAGUGGAAGCGUCUGGAAAGGCGCGCGAUACAGGGUGACAGCCCCGUACACAAAAAUGCACAUAUUGUGAGCUCGAUGAGUAGGGCGGGACACGUGGUAUCCUGUCUGAAUAUGGGGGGACCAUCCUCCAAGGCUAAAUACUCCUGACUGACCGAUAGUGAACCAGUACCGUGAGGGAAAGGCGAAAAGAACCCCGGCGAGGGGAGUGAAAAAGAACCUGAAACCGUGUACGUACAAGCAGUGGGAGCCUCUUAAUGGGGUGACUGCGUACCUUUUGUAUAAUGGGUCAGCGACUUAUAUUCUGUAGCAAGGUUAACCGAAUAGGGGAGCCGAAGGGAAACCGAGUCUUAACUGGGCGUUAAGUUGCAGGGUAUAGACCCGAAACCCGGUGAUCUAGCCAUGGGCAGGUUGAAGGUUGGGUAACACUAACUGGAGGACCGAACCGACUAAUGUUGAAAAAUUAGCGGAUGACUUGUGGCUGGGGGUGAAAGGCCAAUCAAACCGGGAGAUAGCUGGUUCUCCCCGAAAGCUAUUUAGGUAGCGCCUCGUGAAUUCAUCUCCGGGGGUAGAGCACUGUUUCGGCAAGGGGGUCAUCCCGACUUACCAACCCGAUGCAAACUGCGAAUACCGGAGAAUGUUAUCACGGGAGACACACGGCGGGUGCUAACGUCCGUCGUGAAGAGGGAAACAACCCAGACCGCCAGCUAAGGUCCCAAAGUCAUGGUUAAGUGGGAAACGAUGUGGGAAGGCCCAGACAGCCAGGAUGUUGGCUUAGAAGCAGCCAUCAUUUAAAGAAAGCGUAAUAGCUCACUGGUCGAGUCGGCCUGCGCGGAAGAUGUAACGGGGCUAAACCAUGCACCGAAGCUGCGGCAGCGACGCUUAUGCGUUGUUGGGUAGGGGAGCGUUCUGUAAGCCUGCGAAGGUGUGCUGUGAGGCAUGCUGGAGGUAUCAGAAGUGCGAAUGCUGACAUAAGUAACGAUAAAGCGGGUGAAAAGCCCGCUCGCCGGAAGACCAAGGGUUCCUGUCCAACGUUAAUCGGGGCAGGGUGAGUCGACCCCUAAGGCGAGGCCGAAAGGCGUAGUCGAUGGGAAACAGGUUAAUAUUCCUGUACUUGGUGUUACUGCGAAGGGGGGACGGAGAAGGCUAUGUUGGCCGGGCGACGGUUGUCCCGGUUUAAGCGUGUAGGCUGGUUUUCCAGGCAAAUCCGGAAAAUCAAGGCUGAGGCGUGAUGACGAGGCACUACGGUGCUGAAGCAACAAAUGCCCUGCUUCCAGGAAAAGCCUCUAAGCAUCAGGUAACAUCAAAUCGUACCCCAAACCGACACAGGUGGUCAGGUAGAGAAUACCAAGGCGCUUGAGAGAACUCGGGUGAAGGAACUAGGCAAAAUGGUGCCGUAACUUCGGGAGAAGGCACGCUGAUAUGUAGGUGAAGCGACUUGCUCGUGGAGCUGAAAUCAGUCGAAGAUACCAGCUGGCUGCAACUGUUUAUUAAAAACACAGCACUGUGCAAACACGAAAGUGGACGUAUACGGUGUGACGCCUGCCCGGUGCCGGAAGGUUAAUUGAUGGGGUUAGCGGUAACGCGAAGCUCUUGAUCGAAGCCCCGGUAAACGGCGGCCGUAACUAUAACGGUCCUAAGGUAGCGAAAUUCCUUGUCGGGUAAGUUCCGACCUGCACGAAUGGCGUAAUGAUGGCCAGGCUGUCUCCACCCGAGACUCAGUGAAAUUGAACUCGCUGUGAAGAUGCAGUGUACCCGCGGCAAGACGGAAAGACCCCGUGAACCUUUACUAUAGCUUGACACUGAACAUUGAGCCUUGAUGUGUAGGAUAGGUGGGAGGCUUUGAAGUGUGGACGCCAGUCUGCAUGGAGCCGACCUUGAAAUACCACCCUUUAAUGUUUGAUGUUCUAACGUUGGCCCGUAAUCCGGGUUGCGGACAGUGUCUGGUGGGUAGUUUGACUGGGGCGGUCUCCUCCUAAAGAGUAACGGAGGAGCACGAAGGUUGGCUAAUCCUGGUCGGACAUCAGGAGGUUAGUGCAAUGGCAUAAGCCAGCUUGACUGCGAGCGUGACGGCGCGAGCAGGUGCGAAAGCAGGUCAUAGUGAUCCGGUGGUUCUGAAUGGAAGGGCCAUCGCUCAACGGAUAAAAGGUACUCCGGGGAUAACAGGCUGAUACCGCCCAAGAGUUCAUAUCGACGGCGGUGUUUGGCACCUCGAUGUCGGCUCAUCACAUCCUGGGGCUGAAGUAGGUCCCAAGGGUAUGGCUGUUCGCCAUUUAAAGUGGUACGCGAGCUGGGUUUAGAACGUCGUGAGACAGUUCGGUCCCUAUCUGCCGUGGGCGCUGGAGAACUGAGGGGGGCUGCUCCUAGUACGAGAGGACCGGAGUGGACGCAUCACUGGUGUUCGGGUUGUCAUGCCAAUGGCACUGCCCGGUAGCUAAAUGCGGAAGAGAUAAGUGCUGAAAGCAUCUAAGCACGAAACUUGCCCCGAGAUGAGUUCUCCCUGAGACUUUAAGUCUCCUGAAGGAACGUUGAAGACGACGACGUUGAUAGGCCGGGUGUGUAAGCGCAGCGAUGCGUUGAGCUAACCGGUACUAAUGAACCGUGAGGCUUAACCUUACAACGCCGAAGGUGUUU
rnacentral:rRNA from 1 species